CUUUUCUGAAGUCAGAAUAGAUUCGAGCAGGAAUGAUAUUAAAAAACACAGAACAUGAGAUGAACAAAAACAACACCAAAUUAAAGCGACAAUGUGUACAACCAAAUAUUAAUCGUCAUCAUCAUCAGCUUAGAUGUGAGAAGAUAAUUUUGUUAUUCACAGACGACCUAAUUUCAUACAAAAUAAAUUAGAAUUCUUAACUAGAAAUUGAAAAUGUGUAAAAACAGACUAGAUCUUGUCAAAUAUUAUGCUAAAAACAACAUAUCGAAAUGAAUUAUUAACGUUAAGAAUUAACAAUCUAAACAUUUAUUCAAUAAAUUAUCAACAUAUGAAUAAUUGAAUCCACCAAUACUUCAGUAUCGAAAUGCAUUAUAAAUCAAAUAGAACCACAAAAUUUGCAUGCACCAAAAAAAUUUACAAAAAUGGAAAUAACAACUGAGCUAAUUUACCUUGAUUUGAGAUAAAUGUUAUUGAGAGAGCAAAAAACAGAGAUUGAAUAGUUGCGUAGAUUUGAUUUUGAUUUUUGCUCUCUCUUUUCUCCAGACAUUUGGUUGACACGAGGAACGUUAAAGGAAGAAUAAAAUGAGAUACGACUUAGAAAUGAAGAAGAGCCAUUAAACAAAAUUCUAAACUUUGUUUUAGAUUCAAAGCACUUAAACAAAAAAAUUCACAAAGCACAAAUAAUAUACUCUAAAAAUUUUAAUCCUAUCCAACUGGGAUACAUAUACCCAUCUCAGAACUGUCCUAUUCCACUUUGAUCACAGAGAUUGUGGCUUCGCAGAAAGGGAAAAGAAGACCCCAAACAUAGAAAAAGCACAAAACAAUAUUUGGACAAAAAAAAAAAAGAAUAAGUACACAUAUGCAAACCGAACCCAAUGGCUUUCUCAACGAGUUCUUGGAUGUAAUUCUCACUGAAACAACGGUGGCCAACAUCAUAGACUUGACAAAGGAGGGAAACAGGUUUGGUCUUCUCAUGGCCACCACCCAGAUGUUUCAUUUGAAGCAUCUAAACAAUUUGGGAGUAAAGAGUUGAA
rnacentral:lncRNA from 1 species